rnacentral:rRNA from 1 species
GAUUUCUGGUAUGAUGCGCAUGUCCCGGCUAGAAAUAGAUCGUGUGGCUUCGUGCGUCUACCAUCCUUCGCUACAGAUUUGUUGACAUGUUAAAGUGUCAGCUGCUGUUGCGAUCUUUUACUUUGAAAAAAUUAGAGUGUUUAAAGCAGGCUUUUGCCUUGAAUACAUUAGCAUGGAAUAAUAAUAUAGGACUGGGUUCCUAUUUUGUUGGUUUUCUGGAAUCGAGUAAUGAUUGAUAGGGAUAGUUGGGGGUGCUAGUAUUCAGCGGCCAGAGGUGAAAUUCUUUGAUUCGCUGAAGACUAACUUAUGCGAAAGCAUU